GGAAGAAAAAAACAGAAAAAAGAAAAGAAAAGGAAGAAGAAUAAAAGGAACUGUACUACAGCUGUACUGGAUAAUCGAAAGGUUGUCCUGUACACAGCUUACUAGGUAGAAAGAAGAAGUGUUUUCUAUGAAGAAGAAACAGUAUGUACAAAGGCUGAAUGGUCAGGGUUAGGAAUUUGAAACAACCCCGCAUAUUCUGCCUCUUAUUAUCCUCCUCAUCACUAUCCUUCCCUAUGACCUGAGGAUUUUGAACAAAAUAAAAUGAAAAUAGCCUA